rnacentral:rRNA from 1 species
CAGCCGCCGCGGGAAUACGAAGGGGGCUAGCGUUGUUCGGAUUUACUGGGCGUAAAGGGCGCGUAGGCGGACUGAUAAGUCAGGGGUGAAAUCCCAAGGCUCAACCUUGGAACUGCCUUUGAUACUGUUUGUCUUGAGUAUGGAUGAGGUGAGUGGAAUUCCGAGUGUAGAGGUGAAAUUCGUAGAUAUUCGGAGGAACACCAGUGGCGAAGGCGGCUCACUGGUCCAUUACUGACGCUGAGGUGCGAAAGCGUGGGGAGCAAACAGGAUUAGAUACCCCUGUAGUCCCUGUCUCUUAUAC